AGAUGAGAAUUCAUGGAACACUUAAUAGCUGUGCAACGCUGCCUUGUAUUUCCCAGGAGGUCCCAGGCGUCUAAGAUUAGCAGUUCUGCACAAAGACUCGUCUUGGAUGAUGGCACUUCUCUCUUGUGCUAAGCACGCGCAUAUCGCUUACAGUCCGUGGAAGAGGGCCCUUCACGAGAAGCCACAUUCCAGUGCCAUAUGAGCCCCUGCAGUCGUCUGGAAAGCAAAAUGCAUCCUAUUACAGGGUUCCAGUCCGUGGAUUCGAGGUCUCAAUGAGAAGUUAGAUUCAAGUGCCAAACAAGCGCCUCUGACCGCUUGGAAAGUAACUUGGUUCCUGUUCCAGGGUUCCAGAUGCAGAUGAGAAUUCGUGGAACACUUAAUAGCUGUGCAACGCUGCCUUGUAUUUCCCAGGAGGUCCCAGGCGUCUAAGAUUAGCAGUUCUGCACAAUGACUCGUCUUGGAUGUUGGCACUUCUCUCUUGUGCUAAGCACGCGCAUAUCGCUUAGAGGUUCGGCUGCUUUGUUUAUCAUUUU